UUUUGCAUUUGCAUUAAGAAUACCCUAAAAUUGGAAUGAUAGAGAGAAGAUUAGAAUGGCCCCUGUGGAAGGAUGACAUGCAAAUUCACAAAGCAUUCCAUACUUUU
ensembl:snRNA U6 U6 spliceosomal RNA